rnacentral:lncRNA from 1 species
GAAAAUGUCGCCUGUGAGCGCGCGUAUUUCGCCUGGGUCCCGGAGCAGAAGAGGAGCGCCUUUCAGCAGACACACCCACUUUAUUUUGUAGGACAGGACACACACACACACAGGAAGAGGAAAGCAGUGUGUGACUCUGUGACUGUCAGGACACAGCGAGAGGCAGGAGGCACCACUCGUGAGAGGAUGUUGUGAGACGACCGAGGGGAC